rnacentral:rRNA from 1 species
ACGCUCGACACCUACGGGAGGCGGCAGUGGGGAAUAUUGCACAAUGGGGGAAACCCUGAUGCAGCAACGCCGCGUGAAGGAAGACGGUUUUCGGAUUGUAAACUUCUGUUCUUAGUGAAGAUAGUGACGGUAGCUAAGGAGCAAGCCACGGCUAACUACGUACCAGCAGCCGCGGUAAUCUGAGCGGGCUGGCAAGGC